UUAAAGGAAUUGACGGGACCCCGCACAAGCGGUGGAUCAUGUUGUUUAAUUCGAUGAUACGCGAAGAACCUUACCAGGUCUUGACAUCCCCCGCGAUGCUUUAGAGAUAAAGCGGAGGUAUUCGGGGAGACAGGUGGUGCAUGGUUGUCGUCAGCUCGCGUCGUGAGAUGUUGGGUUAAGUCCCGCAACGAGCGCAACCCCUAUUGCUAGUUACCAUCAUUAAGUUGGGGACUCUAGCGAGACUGCCAGUGAUAAACUGGAGGAAGGUGGGGAUGACGUCAAAUCAUCAUGCCCCUUAUGACCUGGGCUACAAACGUGAUACAAUGGCUGGAACAAAGGGAUGCGAAGCAGUGAUGUGGAGCGAAACCCAUAAAAACAGUCUCAGUUCGGAUUGAAGUCUGCAACUCGACUUCAUGAAGUCGGAAUCGCUAGUAAUCGCGGAUCAGAACGCCGCGGUGAAUACGUUCUCGGGGUUU
rnacentral:rRNA from 1 species